rnacentral:misc_RNA from 1 species
CAGUUGGGUAUACUUUUUGGGUGUCCGCCGAGCGCUGCCAUUCUCAUCUAGUGCGCUAGCAGUGCUGCUGCCCUUGAACGAUGUACCCAGUGGCAAAAUGGGGCACCGCGUGUCGACUGCACGCGGCCUAGUGCGGUGCCGUUUUUUGCACUUUUCACGCUGCCUCCUAUCAACGCCGACUCCGCGUUUUCGUUGACGGAUACCCCACACAAUGCCCCACCCCUCCUCUCGAUCACAUGGUCUCGCUCCCUCCAGCUCCACCGAUUCCGCUUUUAUGUCUUUUUCUUGCUACUCUAUUUAUCGCGCCCUGAUGGCAGGGAGGGGGCGCACGCCUCAGCGCGUCGUAUCCUCAGGGCCCCGCACAUCGACUCCGCCGGGAAGCCAGGCAGCCUCCCAGCCCCCUAUCCAUUGCCCAUGCCGAGCUACUUCCGGCGGUGACACGGUCACGCGCCCACGAAGUGGGGGCGGGGGGGGUGAGAGCGAUGUGCUGCUGCUGAUGUCUGCGGUGGGAGACUGGAUGGCGCUGCGUCGGAGCGGGCUGCGGCAGCGAGCACGUCUGCGCCGCCCACAUGAUGGACGAGGUGUGAGCGUGGCUGGAGGAUAUCCCACCCGGCGCUGGCACUGCCUCCUGGUGUGGGGAGCCUGCGCCACGGCGAGGGGGAUGCGCCAGGAGGGGUGGCGGCCGGCGGAGCGGGUGGUUUGCAGAGCUGGAGGCAGCGGCCGUGCUUGUGUGCCUGGGUGGGCGCAGCGCUGUGACGCGUGUGCCCACCGCUGCCUCGUCCCGCGCGGUGUGACCUGCGGCAUGUGACGGGGAGAGGUGGGGGCGCAUCGCGGAGGUGGAGUCGUGUUGCGCGGCAGAGGAUGGAGGUGGUGGGGAAAAGCUGAUCGCGGGAGUCGAACGAAGCAGUGCCCCACACUGAUCUACUCAUCCAUUGCCACAGUGUUUGGCGUAGGUGGAUGGAUAAGCUCCCAACUCCCGCGACGCGCUGCGUGUUACCGUCUACAUGCACGUAAGAGCCGUCGGUAAUGAGGAGUGUCGCCUCAUUUCGCGCUCCUCCUCGCCCGCCAGCUGUAGUAAGUGAAGCGAGAGCUCCCCCCACUGACGGGGCGAAGCGGCAAGCGAGUGGCGAAUAAACACUCCUUGUGGCAGGGUGAUCUCUAGUGAGCGGAUCUGUCGUAUCUUCACAAUUUCGUUUCCCUUUGCGGAUGGGUGGUGGCGGUGGGGUGUAACCGCUGUUUCUCCUGGGCAGCCUACGGCCGCAACGGACGGGUAUAUAUGUGCGUAUGAGGGCCUAGUGCCUCUCUUUGUUCGGGCCCCUCUUACAGUGAGAAGGAUGUCCGCUGGCCUCACUGCACCGUCUGUGAAUUCGCGUCACUUCUACCCGACUAGCCCCGCCCUUUAUCAUGUUCGCUGCCGGGUGAGACAUGGUGGAUAGGGGAAGGCGGUGAGCUCAGCACGUGCGCCG